AUUGAACGCUGGCGGCAUGCUUUACACAUGCAAGUCGAACGGUAACAGGUUAAGCUGACGAGUGGCGAACGGGUGAGUAAUGCAUCGGAACGUGCCCGAUCGUGGGGGAUAACGCAGCGAAAGCUGCGCUAAUACCGCAUACGAUCUGAGGAUGAAAACGGGGGACCGUAAGGCCUCGCGCGAUCGGAGCGGCCGAUGUCAGAUUAGGUAGUUGGUGGGGUAAAGGCCCACCAAGCCGACGAUCUGUAGCUGGUCUGAGAGGACGACCAGCCACACUGGGACUGAGACACGGCCCAGACUCCUACGGGAGGCAGCAGUGGGGAAUUUUGGACAAUGGGCGAAAGCCUGAUCUAGCAAUGCCGCGUGCAGGAAGAAGGCCUUCGGGUUGUAAACUGCUUUUGUACGGAGCGAAAAGGUCCUUUCUAAUACAAGGGGCUCAUGACGGUACCGUAAGAAUAAGCACCGGCUAACUACGUGCCAGCAGCCGCAGUAA
rnacentral:rRNA from 1 species